GAAAAGUACCCCUGUUAGGGGAGUGAAAUAGUACCUGAAACCAUAAACCUACAAGCGGUCGGAGGCCUAUGGCUCUUAGGAGCAACGGCUGACGGCGUGCCUUUUGCAUAAUGACCCGGCGAGUUAAUCUAUGUGGCGAGGUUAAGGGCUUUAGGCCCGUAUCCGAAGGGAAACCGAGUGUGAAUAGCGCGACAUUAGUCAUAUGGAUUAGACCCGAAAGUGAGUGAUCUAUCCAUGGGCAGGGUGAAGCGGAUGUAACAAUCCGUGGAGGCCCGAACGGUUGUAGGUUGAAAACUGCUCCGAUGACCUGUGGAUAGGAGUGAAAGGCUAAUCAAACUCACAGAUAGCUGGUUCUCCCCGAAAUAGCUUUUGGGCUAGCGUCAAGUAAUAGCAAGUGGGGGUAGAGAUACUGAUUGGGAUAGGGGCCUUUCGAGGUACCCUCCCCAGCCAAACUCCGAAUACCAUUUGCCGUAUCUUGGCAGUCAGUCCGUGGGCGAUAAGGUCCAUGGUCGAGAGGGAAACAACCCAGAUCGCCAGCUAAGGUCCCUAAUUAAUACUAAGUGUCUUAAAGGAAGUGAAGUCUCUAAGACAGCCAGGAUGUUGGCUUAGAAGCAGCCACCAUUUAAAGAGUGCGUAAUAGCUCACUGGUCGAGAGGCUCUGCGCCGAUAAUGAACGGGACUCAAGUAUUAAACCGAAGCUGCGAAUCACAUAUGUUCGUUGAAGAUAUGUGGUGGUAGGGGAGCGUUCUAAGCGAGUGAAGGGUGACCGUAAGGACGCCUGGACGCUCUAGAAGUGAUUAUGCCGGGAUAAGUAACGACAAAGCAGGUGAGAAUCCUGCUCGCCGAAAACCUAAGGUUUCCUGGGCACGGUAAAUCCGCCCAGGGUUAGUCGGAUCCUAAGGCGAGGCCGAAAGGCGUAGUCGAUGGACAACAGGUUAAUAUUCCUGUACUACCAAAUGCGCGUUAUACCGAUGGGGUGACGCGGGAGGAAACGCAGUCGCACUGACAGAAUAGUGCGUGUAAGCUCGAGGGCGGCAUGUUGGUAAAUCCGCAUGCGUAAACCCGGAAGUGAUGCCGAGUGCUUUGCACGAAGCUGCUGGACUGACCGCCGAGAAAAUCCUCUAGGAAGUUCAUAUGGUAUCCGUACCAAAACUGACACAGGUAGGUGGGAUGAGAAUUCUAAGGCGCUCGAGAGAACCAUUGUUAAGGAACUCGGCAAAUUAGCUCCGUAACUUCGGGAUAAGGAGCGCCCCUCAGCGUGUAGGACUUUACGUCUGAAGCGCAAGGGGGCCGCAGUGAAAAGGUGUUGACGACUGUUUACUAAAAACACAGGUCUGUGCUAACUCGUCUAAGAGGCUGUAUACAGACUGACGCCUGCCCAAUGCCGGUAGGUUAAGGGGAGCGGUUAGCGUAAGCGAAGCUGCGAACUGAAGCCCCGGUGAAUGGCGGCCGUAACUAUGACGGUCCUAAGGUAGCGAAGUUCCUUGUCGGGUAAGUUCCGACCCGCACGAAAGGCGUAACGAUUGACACACUGUCUCAACAAUGGACUCGGUGAAAUUGUAGUCGUGGUGAAGAUGCCACGUUCCCGCACCAGGACGGAAAGACCCCGUGAACCUUUACUAUAGCCUGAUAUUGGUAUUUGACAUGGCGUGCGUAGGAUAGGUGGGAGGCGUUGAUUCUGGGCUUUCGGGCCUAGUGGAGCCGUUGGUGAAAUACCACUCUCGUCAUGUUAGGUCUCUAACGCGAUACCGUGAAUCCGGGUCGUGGACAGUUUCAGGUGGGUAGUUUGGCUGGGGCGGUCUCCUCCUAA
rnacentral:rRNA from 1 species